rnacentral:rRNA from 1 species
AGUGAACGCUGGCGGUAGGCCUAACACAUGCAAGUCGAACGGCAGCACAGUAAGAUCUCGCCCUUACGGGUGGCGAGUGGCGGACGGGUGAGGAAUACAUCGGAAUCUACUUUUUCGUGGGGGAUAUCGUAGGGAAACUUACGCUAAUACCGCAUACGACCUACGGGUGAAAGCAGGGGAUCUUCGGACCUUGCGCGAUUGAAUGAGCCGACGUCGGAUUAGCUAGUUGGCGGGGUAAAGGCUCACCAAGGCAACGAUCCGUAGCUGGUCUGAGAGGAUGAUCAGCCACACUGGAACUGAGACACGGUCCAGACUCCUACGGGAGGCAGCAGUAGGGAAUCUUGCGCAAUGGGCGCAAGCCUGAUCGAGCCAUGCCGCGUGAGUGAUGAAGGCCUUCGGAUUGUAAAGCCCUUUUGUUAGGAAAGAACAACUGCGGAUUAAUCCCCCGCCGUCCUGACGGUACCCAAUGAAAAAGCCACGGCUAACUUCGUG